rnacentral:rRNA from 1 species
AGUGAACGCUGGCGGUAGGCCUAACACAUGCAAGUCGAACGGCAGCACAGUAAGAGCUUGCUCUUACGGGUGGCGCGUGGCGGACGGGUGAGGAAUACAUCGGAAUCUACUUUUUCGUGGGGGAUAACGUAGGGAAACUUACGCUAAUACCGCAUACGACCUACGGGUGAAAGCAGGGGAUCUUCGGACCUUGCGCGAUUGAAUUAGCCGAUGUCGGAUUAGCUAGUUGGCGGGGUAAAGGCCCACCAAGGCGACGAUCCGUAGCUGGUCUGAGAGGAUGAUCAGCCACACUGGAACUGAGAAACGGUCCAGACUCCUACGGGAGGCCGCAGUGGGGAAUAUUGGACAAUGGGCGCAAGCCUGAUACAGCCAUACCGCGUGGGUGAAGAAGGCCUUCGGGUUGUAAAGCCCUUUUGUUGGGAAAGAAAAGCAGCAGGUUAAUACCCCGCUGUUCUGACGGUACCCAAAGAAUAAGCACCGGCUAACUUCGUG